UAUUGGACAAUGGGCGAAAGCCUGAUCCAGCCAUGCCGCGUGUGUGAAGAAGGUCUUCGGAUUGUAAAGCACUUUAAGUUGGGAGGAAGGGCAUUAACCUAAUACGUUAGUGUUUUGACGUUACCGACAGAAUAAGCACCGGCUAACUCUGUGCCAGCAGCCGCGGUAAUACAGAGGGUGCAAGCGUUAAUCGGAAUUACUGGGCGUAAAGCGCGCGUAGGUGGUUUGUUAAGUUGGAUGUGAAAUCCCCGGGCUCAACCUGGGAACCGCAUUCAAAACUGACUGACUAGAGUAUGGUAGAGGGUGGUGGAAUUUCCUGUGUAGCGGUGAAAUGCGUAGAUAUAGGAAGGAACACCAGUGGCGAAGGCGACCACCUGGACUAAUACUGACACUGAGUGCGAA
rnacentral:rRNA from 1 species